AAAAAUGCUCUUUAAGAAAAAAAAAUCCUCAAAAAUCUUAUUUGCAAUGCUUAAGUUACAUUGCAUGACAUUAUAUACUUACAUUACAUUAACUUACAUUACUUAACAAUCAUAUUAUAUCUGAUCCACAAACAAGUUAGAGUUGUCAGAUCUAGCCAGCUCCUAAAUAUCCAACCAUACAUUUCAAAAACAUUAAAUUUUCUUUCAGAAAAUCGAAGGAUAUACCUUUAAUAUGUGCACUAAUCCAUCAACUGAUCAAAUUUGAAUUGGUCCAAUCGCAACCGUCGACGACCAAUCAUUUUGAAAUGAUCAUUUUUCACACUUCAUGGAUCUGUUUCAAAAAACAUGAAUUGUACCCACCCUGCCGACACUAUUCAGAAACCAUUAAUCAAGGUCAAAGCUGGCCGCACAAUUUGAAGUUCCGCUAAUCAUGCCAUUUGGGACCAUUUGCUUUCCAAUUUUGCUCUAUAUUGUUCCCAAAUUUCCUUUGGGAUAAAAAUGGAGAGACUUUCAAAAUAUUCGAUCUUGAAACGUUUCACAGAAGGGCCGAGAAAUAGAAGAGAUGAAAGGCCAAAGGCAUGUGUCUUCUGGCCUUAGGGAAGGUCGAGGGUUCUUCAGUCUUCUGCGCACAUACUACUUGACCAUGGAUCACGUAGUCUGUUUUUAAGUUGUGCAACGGAAGCUUCAAAAUCGUCCUUCAUUGGAAAAUGUGCUCCAAUUCUUUCCAACACCUGUUCCAAGUUCUUUUCAAACAAUGGCGGACUUGCCGUUGUGUUUUGGACUCAUUCACGUGGAUGAUUUGAGACAAGAGCUUCAAACGUUCGCAUAAGUUGGGAAAAUAGCUUUGAUUGAACCACUUUGUCCUGACAUUUGGUUGGUUGAGUGAACCGACAGAACCGUUAAAAUUACUCACGCCUUCGCUUCUUCCAAACUGAUUUCCAUAUAAUUAUUCAACAUUGAUUGCAGCUGUUACAACAAAAAUAUGAAGCUGCGACAAGGCCAACUUGCUCGGCCAUGAAAAAAGGCUUCCUAUUUACCCCGGGGGCUCAAAUCGAGGCAUUGGUUGUGCAUCUCAAGGCUCCAGUCCCACCAAUCAAUCUUAAGAGGGUUGGCAGGGCAAUUUCCGUGCUUUCGGCUACAUUCAACCAAUACCAAAAUUACGACGUGAGUAAAUUGGUUUAAGGGAAGCUAUUGCAACAAAGAAACUUUCAAAACCAUGUCCUGAGAUUAUAUUGAACCCACGAUCCCACAUUGUGGGUGCACAACCAAUGAUUAAACACUGGGAAGAGCCCAAAGGCUAGCUCAGUUCAGGAAAGUGAAUUGGCAGAUGCAUCUUCUUUUGACAGUGAAAUAUUUUCUCAUAGAUUCUCGGAAAAGCUUGAAAAGGUUUUAGACCCAUUAUUUUGGAACGAUUGCAACAUAGCAUCAGACUGCACCUACCCAAUAACCUCGUCGAGUUUUUUCAAAACACUCUAAUGGAAUCAAGGCUUUCACGCAAGCUGAUCCAGCCGCUUGACAAAAUUCAAUUCACAAAUUCUUUCAAAUGUACAAUAUAUCUCAGCUUUUUUAGCCUGAAUUAAUUGCCACAAAUCUGAAAACAAAGACUUACAUUUCUAAUCAGAUUUCAUCCUUUUUUGCAUUUAUGCUGUGCAAAAUUGAGCCUAAUAAGACACUGUCUGGAAUCAUUAAACAAGUUACAAGAACAUUGCGAUAGUUGAAGGAAAUGAAUCAAACCUUACAUAUAUCAGAAACAGCCAGAUUUAGGAUGAAGAUGUUCCUUGCGGUCCACAUGUAUUUCCUCCUGACCACGGUCCAGAUCACCAAAGCAUUUCCCAAGAAGGUCAACAAGAUCAGAAUGGCGUAUGAGAGGGCCGAAAUGGCAUACCAAGGCUGAUGAAGGGCACGGUUCAAGUCAUACAUAUACAGAAGAUCGUCGGUAUUUGCAUCACCGCUCAUGAUUUGAGAUCUAUUUGUGCACUGAGAGAGCAAUCCUGGGUCUCAUAAAUGGCGCACAAUGUCGACUAACUUCCACGAGCAACCUGAAGAUUGGAGAGAAAGAGAAGGAAAUCCGGUUAUCUCUUGACCUUCACAGGCGAAUCCUAAACAUUGAGUGACAUGAGAAAAGCUUCGGUGUAUUGCUUGACAAAUUAGGAUCAAUCUACUUUCCUCAAACCUUGGCCACAAAUUGGGACCAAUUGCGACAGCCAUCGAACUUUCUAGACCAUCAGAAUUUUGCCGUUGCUAAUGACGUCAAAGAUUGGUUCGCUCAAACCUAAGCACUUAGUCUUUUGGAUUUGAUUUGUUGCUUAGUCUUUUGGAUUUGAUUUGUUGCACCAAUUUUACUCAUGAAUAUGAGUACCCAUUUUGAGGAAGUUCUUACACUGUUCUGAAAUGUUUCUUGUUGCCAAAAUUCUACGCCAUUUACAUACUUCAUCAUUACUUAAUAUCAUGUUGUUUGAAUAGCAUGGUUUUUCUUUUGUCCCUCAUUAUUGAGGUUUAUACAUUACGAAAAAGUACCAAUGCAUACGAACACUUCACUAACGACGAAAUGCGAGGUUUAAUGCCUUCAAAACUUGUUUAAGUUGUUUCAAACAAAAACAAAAAAAGACACCUGUGAGUAUUUAUUUGACAAGAAAGAAACAAUGUCAUUUGCUGCCUAUUUCUUUUGAACAAGUGCAUUAUAUGAACAUGUUGUGCCUGAGAAUGAUCAACUUUGCGAAAAAAAUCACGUGCUUCUCUGUCUUCUUUUUUUUUUAUGAGCAGUACCUAUCAUCCUUCUCUGGAUAUCGAAGCUCAAUUAAUGUAGAUCAAUCCAUGCAAUUCAAAGUUCAAGAAUUUGUGCAAUUCUCUGAAAAUUCCUCCCUGACUCAAUCAAUUUAAAUAGCUCACUCCUGGCCCAUGAAAUAGAACCAUUUAUCUUGAAAUCCUCUUACCCAGA